UGUUUAAACUGUUUAUGGGAUUGUAUAUAUUGCACAUAUUUUUUAAAUAGUGAAGUUCAAUAUUUAUAAACUUAUCCAUACGACAUUAAAUAGUUUUUUCAAAACGAGUUAAUAUACAAAUAAUAUAGAAGGCGCGUGUGUUACACACCUCGUAAAAUCUUACUAUAAAUAAAUCUAUAGCUAUAUAUAUAUAUAUAUAUAUAUAUAUAUAUAUAUAUGUAUAAGCUAAAAGCGACUUACUCUCAAUUUAUGUUGCCUAUUAGGUUAUGAAAACGCACCGUUAAAACACAAACAAAACUUCCAUAAAGUUUUCAAAUAUGGAGAAAUAUAAACGUAAAAAAUCCCCCGCCUAUGAACGCACAGCUUACCAUACAACAUAUGAUAGUGAUUCUGACAUCAAUAACACAAAUGCACAUAAUAACAAUAACAUAAUAAGUGACAUGGAAGGUGAUUUAUUACCACAUGAAGUUUUGCAUAAAAUUGAUUAUGUGUUUGAUAAUAUGAAAGCAAAGAAAAAGAAUCAUACAGACAAGAUAAAAAUAAAUAAAAAAUUAGUUUUUAAAAAUGAUAUGUUAAGUAAUGUGUUAAAUAGUUCUCAAAAAAUGAAAAAAAUACAUAAUAAUCUAUUCAGCGUUGAUGUCAAUGAUUAUGUGCCGGUUACGCCUCCAGAAGUAUAUACAAGUAAUGUCCCCCCGAGGCCUCAUCAUCAUAAUAACACUACUGUGAACAUAGACGAAUAUAACAAAUUAAAAGAAAAUGCAAAUAAAUUUACAAACGAUGUUUUAAAUCAGAAGGAAUAUACUUAUAACGCAAACUUUGUUCUAAAUCCGAAUACUAAAAAGAACAAAAAUAUGGAUAAUAGUGAAGAAAAUAAUAACAACAUUCGAUCUGUGAUAAAGCCAAGUACUUCUGCCAUAGGAGAAAUUAAAGUUAAUAUAGAUGAUAUAAAAUCUGGCUUGUUAUCAUAUUACUCUAAUAUUUUUUCGCUAGAUCAUUAUGAUAUAGAAAGUAGACUUAAUAUUUUAAAAUAUGGUGAUAAAAAUACCUCUGAUAGCUUGAAUGUAAGAUAUACAUACUCCAAACAAAAUGGACAUGAUAAUACAAUUCCUUUAAUCUAUAAAAACGAUAAAUUACAUAACCCUGGAUAUUUAAAUGAUUGUCUUGUAUUACCCUCAGCACAUUCUUGUUAUAACAAUCAGAAUGGUAAUUUAAAAAAUAAUAAUAUAUACUCGAAUUUAGAAAAAAGAGAGUUUAUUGAUCAGUUUGACACCAACGACAAUGACAAUUUAAAUGUAUAUGAUGAUGAGGGAAAAAUAACUAAUGUCCUAACUAGUUUGAAACGUAAAUGUGAAAAUGCAAAGUUUAAAACAGAUCAGUUAAAUUUUCAAUUUAGCAAAAAGUAUGAAAACCCGGAUAAUAGAUGUUGGAUUUAUGAUGUUGUUCCAGCGCACUUAAGAAGACCAGGAUUAGAUGAUAAUGAUGGAUUAAGACAACACAUAACUACGACGUACGCUCAACUAUACAAUGAAGCAAUGUUGAAUAAAAAAAAAAUUUCAUCUCUUGAAAAAAAAUUACAUUUAUUAAAAGUAAAAAGUAGCAUGUUUGGGAAAGGGUUGAAAGUAGACACGAGGAAUGCUCUAUAA
ensembl:lncRNA